AUUGAACGCUGGCGGCAUGCCUUACACAUGCAAGUCGAACGGCAGCACGGGUGCUUGCACCUGGUGGCGAGUGGCGAACGGGUGAGUAAUACAUCUGAACAUGUCCUGUAUUGGGGGAUAGCCCGGCGAAAGCCGGAUUACUACCGCAUACGAACCACGUAUGAAACCGGGGGACCUUCGGGCCUCGCGCUAUAGGGUUGGCCGAUGGCUGAUUAGCUAGUUGGUGGGGUAAAGGCCUACCAAGGCGACGAUCAGUAGCUGGUCUGAGAGGACGACCAGCCACACUGGGACUGAGACACGGCCCAGACUCCUACGGGAGGCAGCAGUGGGGAAUUUUGGACAAUGGGCGAAAGCCUGAUCCAGCAAUGCCGCGUGUGUGAAGAAGGCCUUCGGGUUGUAAAGCACUUUUGUCCGGAAAGAAAUCAUUGGCUCUAAUACAGUCGGGGGAUGACGGUACCGGAAGAAUAAGCACCGGCUAACUACGUG
rnacentral:rRNA from 1 species